AACGAACGCUGGCGGCAGGCUUAACACAUGCUAGUCGAACGCCCCGCAAGGGGAGUGGCAGACGGGUGAGUAACGCGUGGGAACGUACCUUUCGCUUCGGAAUAUUCCCGGGAAACUGGGAGCAAUGCCGAAUACGCCGUAUUGGGAAAGAUUUAUCGGCGAAAGAUCGGCCCGCGUUAGAUUAGGUAGUUGGCGGUGUAAUGGACCACCAAGCCUACGAUCUAUAGCUGGUCUGAGAGGAUGAUCAGCCACACUGGGACUGAGACACGGCCCAGACUCCUACGGGAGGCAGCAGUGGGGAAUCUUGGACAAUGGGCGCAAGCCUGAUCCAGCCAUGCCGCGUGAGUGAAGAAGGCCUUAGGGUUGUAAAACUCUAUCGCCGGAGAAGAUAAUGACGGUAUCCGGAGAAGAAGCCCCGGCUAACUUCGUGCCAGCCGCCGCUGUAA
rnacentral:rRNA from 1 species